UCCAAAUAUAGGAUGGGAAUCCUGAGCACACAUCUGGAUGGUAUAUAAUUUAUUCUUCAUGUAUAUGGGGCAUAGAACUAACAUGUAUACAUCUUUUCCCAUCAAUGUCUUAACAGCGGUAUAAAGAAUGCUAUAUCGGCAUGUUGGAGGUUGUCUUUUAUUCCAUUAUCACUAUCUUCUUUUAGAAGACAUUUUUCUGCACUGUCUUAAAUGGAGUUGAUUUGUCAUUAAUAUAUUUUGAAAGAAUUACAAAAUAUAUUACAUAUAUUAUUGUACCUUUAGACAAAUAAUUUGGUAUUUGCAUGACAAUUUUAUAUAAGUUGGAUAAAAUGUGACUUUAUGUUUUAUGCUUUAUCCUAAUCUCUUAGAUGUUUUAUUUUUUUUUAAAUUUAAUUUUAUUGGAGUAUAGUUGGCUUAUAAUGUAUUCAUUUGAGGUAUACAGCAAAGUGAAUAUAUAUCUAUUAGUGCUUCUUUUCCCACACAGGUUAUUAUGGACUAUUCAGUAGAUUUCCCUGUGUUAUACAGUAGGUCCUUGUUUGUUAUUUAUUUUAUAUGUAAUAGCAUGUAUAAAUUAAUCCUACUUUACUCUCAAGUUUCUAGUUGAAAGCCACUUCAAAGGAAGGGCAAUGCAUGGAUUUAGUAAUUAAUUUUAUUACAGAUAAUGGCAUUUAUAGUAACUAUGUUUUUUAGAUUAUGGACUGUAUAUUCAAUUAUGGAUCAUAUACCAAGUAUAGUGCUAAAAAUUUUUGUGAAUAAUCUCUUUGGUUCAUGUAGCAACACAAAAAAUGGUAAGAUUAUUCCUCCAACUUAAAUUGAGGAAGAUUUUGAAUCAUAAGGAUUUAGUAAGUCAAAAAAGAUCCUGCCACUAAUAAAUGGUAGAGCCAGGCUUGAGUUCAAGGUGUGUCUGGACACUUUAAUGGCUGUAGAUGGAAGAAAUCUAUCAGCAAUAUGACCAAGCUUUUGUUUGUAACAAGUUAUGAGAAUGUGUGCAGAGAAGGAUACAUAGAGGUUCAAUGACAAUUUCUUUCUUAAGCUAUAAUGGGUUCUUAUUUUUUUUUUAAGAUGAAAAUCUCUUACAUAUUUUAAGUAAAACUCUCCCAGUCUAGAAUAAGUCAAAUUAGAAGUAAAAAUAAGUAUAAUUUUAGUUUAUUUUUAACUAUAAUUUUUCAUAAUACUGGCAACUAAAUGGAAUGUAUAGCAUGAGGUUUUUAAUCCAGUGUGAGUGAGAAACAAGUGGUAUAUAAAAUUUUGCACCUACCAUUUUAUUAUUAAUCUUUUGAGCCAGAAACUCUUUUUUUUUAAAGAGCAGAACCAGUAGCAUAUUGAAAUUCCCCAGCUAGGGGUUGGUUGGAUGAUCUGUAGCUGCUGUUUUUUUACUUUAAAUAGUUUAUGUUUAUUUAUUUGUAUUUUUAAUAUUUAGAUAUUUGUGAAUGCAGUUUUUUGGUUUUGGUUUUUGGUUUCAGUUUGUUUGUUUUUGGCCAAACACACAGCAUGUGGAAGAUCUGGUCACACUAUAGCCACGAGCUGAGCUUCUGCAGUAAUCCUUAACCUGCUGUGCCAGAAGAGAAGUCUGUGGGUAGAUUUUUGUCAAAAGGUAUUUCCUGAUAUUAUCUCAAGUAAAUAUAAUUAUUUGAUCAACUUAUGAACGGGACAGUUUAAACAUGACUGUAAGAAAGAUGAGUUAUUUUCUGAUGCAUUUUACAUUGAAGAUUUGCUUAAUUUAUUGAAUUUUAUUUUGAAUCUUGCUGGUUAUAGUUUCUAUGGUUUUGUUUCUUUUCUGUUCAUUGUAUUAUAUUUUCCAAAAAUGAAAUUGGUAAGACAGUUAUCUCAUAAGGAAGCAAACCCCAGAAAAAUAUUUUUUCAGAUAUAAGUUUUAUAGUAAGAAUUGAUUCUUGUGGCAAUUUUAGCCAAUAAAAAUUUUACCAAGAACUUUUAAAAAAACUAAGUUUUAGUACC
rnacentral:lncRNA from 1 species